rnacentral:misc_RNA from 1 species
UACGUAGGAUCCAAGCGUUAUCCGGAAUUACUGGGCGUAAAGAGUUGCGUAGGUGGUCUUUUAAGUAGAACGUGAAAGCGUACGGCUCAACCGUAUACACAUUUUCUAAACUGAAAGACUAGAGGGCGAGAGAGGUUACUAGAAUUUCUUGUGUAGGAGUGAAAUCCGUAGAUAUAAGAAGGAAUACCGAUGGCGUAGGCAGGUAACUGGCUCGCACCUGACACUGAGGCACGAAAGCAUGGGUAGCAAACGGG